rnacentral:rRNA from 1 species
ACACGACUACAUUAGAUACCCGCGUAGUCCUAGCCGUAAACGAUACUCGCUAGGUGUCGGCCACGGUGCGACCGUUGUCGGUGCCGUAGGGAAGCCGUGAAGCGAGCCACCUGGGAAGUACGGCCGCAAGGCUGAAACUUAAAGGAAUUGGCGGGGGAGCACAACAACGGGUGGAGCUUGCGGUUUAAUUGGAUUCAACGCCGGAAAUCUUACCGGGACCGACAGCAGCAUGAAGGCCAAGCUGAAGACUUUGCCGGAUUAGCUG